AUGUUCUCUGUAGCUCUGCUGAUGGUCUCUGCUGCUGGAUCCUGUGUGAAGUGUGAGCAGCUGACACAACCAGCCUCUGUGAUAGUGCAUCCAAGUCAGCGUCUGACCCUCACCUGUCAGGUUUCUUAUUCUCUUGGCGCCUGGACAGCUUGGAUCAGACAGCCUGCAGGGAAAGGACUGGAGUGGAUUGGGAUGAAAUACACUGGGAACUCUCACUUUAAAGAUUCACUAAAGAGCAAUUUCAGCAUUGACUUGGACACUUCAAGCAAGACAGUGACUUUAAACCAACAGAAUAUGCAGCCUGAAGACACUGCUGUGUAUUACUGUGCCAGAGAGUCAAAGUAA